rnacentral:rRNA from 1 species
UACGUAGGGGGCUAGCGUUGUCCGGAAUCAUUGGGCGUAAAGCGCGUGUAGGCGGUCCGGUAAGUCCGCUGUGAAAGUCGGGGGCUCAACCCUCGGAUGCCGGUGGAUACUGUCGGGCUUGAGUACGGAAGAGGCGAGUGGAAUUCCUGGUGUAGCGGUGAAAUGCGCAGAUAUCAGGAGGAACACCAAUAGCGAAGGCAGCUCGCUGGGACGGUACUGACGCUGAGACGCGAAAGCGUGGGGAGCGAACAGG